GCCAGACGUGGUGGCGCACACCUGUAAUCCCAGCAGCGUGGGAGGCUGAGGCACAAGGAUCACGAGUUCAAAGCCAGCCUCAGCAAAAAAAGCGAUGCAUAAGCAACGCAGUGAGACUCUGUCUCUA
rnacentral:sRNA from 1 species